rnacentral:rRNA from 1 species
CCUACGGGAGGCAGCAGUAAGGAAUAUUGGUCAAUGGACGAAAGUCUGAACCAGCCAUGCCGCGUGAAGGAUGAAGGCCCUCUGGGUUGUAAACUUCUUUUAUAGGGGACGAAAAAAGGGCAUUCUUGCUCACUUGACGGUACCCUAGGAAUAAGCACCGGCUAACUCCGUGCCAGCAGCCGCGGUAAUACGGAGGGUGCAAGCGUUAUCCGGAUUUACUGGGUUUAAAGGGUGCGUAGGUGGGUUGGUAAGUCAGCGGUGAAAUCUUCGAGCUUAACUCGGAAACUGCCAUUGAUACUAUCAAUCUUGAAUCAUCUAGAGGUAAGCGGAAUAUGUCAUGUAGCGGUGAAAUGCUUAGAUAUGACAUAGAACACCAAUUGCGAAGGCAGCUUACUAUGGAUGUAUUGACACUGAGGCACGAAAGCGUGGGGAUCAAACAGGAUUAGAUACCCUGGUAGUCCACGCCCUAAACCUAUGGAUACUCGACAUUUGCGAUAUACUGUAAGUGUNUGAGNGAAGANAUAAGUAUACCACCUACGGAGUACGAGCGCGAGAGUAGUAACGUUAAAGUAAAGUUAGUACGGACGUGAGACGUAGACCGACGGACGACGACGAGGGAGGAGGGAG